rnacentral:rRNA from 1 species
AGGAACAAGGUUUCCGUAGGUGAACCUGCGGAAGGAUCAUUAUUGAAUAAACGUGGUUGGGUUGUUGCUGGCUUUUAGGAGCAUGUGCACGCUCACUCCAUUUUUAACCACCUGUGCACCUUGUGUAGAUCUGAACAAAUCUCGGGGAAACUCGGUCAGAGAAUUGCUGUGUGUAAAAGCCAGCUUUUCUUGGGUUCAGAUCUAUGUCUCUAUAUACACCAUAUGAAUGUAUUCGAAUGUAAUUGAUAGGCGUUACAGCCUCUAAAAUCAAAUACAACUUUCAACAACGGAUCUCUUGGCUCUCGCAUCGAUGAAGAACGCAGCGAAAUGCGAUAAGUAAUGUGAAUUGCAGAAUUCAGUGAAUCAUCGAAUCUUUGAACGCACCUUGCGCUCCUUGGUAUUCCGAGGAGCAUGCCUGUUUGAGUGUCGUGAAAUUCUCAACCUCUCUGGUUUUUUAAUAAGCUAGUUAGGCUUGGAUUUUGGAGGUUGCUGGCGUCUCAGAAAUCAGCUCUUCUUAAAUAAAUUAGCAAAGUCUUUGCUGACCAUCUCUGGUAUGAUAAUUAUCUAUAUCAUUGAGAAUCAGCUUCCAUCUCGGAAGGAUUUCGCUUCUAAUGGUCUAUAUCGACAACUUGACAAUCUGACCUCAAAUGCACGAGGAGAACCGUAGC